rnacentral:rRNA from 1 species
UACGGGGGGGGCAAGCGUUGUUCGGAAUUACUGGGCGUAAAGGGCUCGUAGGUGGCCAAUUAAGUCAGACGUGAAAUCCCCAAGCUCAACUUGGGAACUGCGUCUGAUACUGGAUGGCUUGAAUUCGGGAGAGGGAUGCAGAAUUCCGGGUGUAGCGGUGAAAUGCGUAGAUAUCUGGAGGAAUACCAGUGGCGAAGGCGGCAUCCUGGACCGAGAUUGACACUGAUGAGCGAAAGCUAGGGGAGCAAACGGG